rnacentral:lncRNA from 1 species
AGGGGAGCUGAUUUCUGAAAGAUUUACAAGGUUGCAGGAGAUUCACUCAUUUUUUCUGCUUCAAAGAAGCUGAUUCUGUUGAAUUUGAAAGGUUGUACAAGUCUUUCAACUCUUCCAGGCAAGAUCUUUAUGAAAUCUGAUUAAGACACUUGUUCUUUCUGGUUGCUUGAAGUUGAAGAAAUUUCCAGACAUUGUGCAAGUUCUUCCGGAUGGAACUGAUAUUAGAGAACUGUCAUUAGCAAUUGAACUUCUAUUUGGACUUGUUUAGUUGACUCUGAAUGGCUGCAAAAAUCUUGAGCAUCUUCCAAGGACCGUAAGAGCUCUGAAAUAUCUAUCAACUUUGAAUCUUUCCGGCCUUUUGAAAUUCAGAUAGUUUCCACAGAUAACUUCAAGCAGGGAUCAGCUCUUGGAGAUUCAUUUGGAAGGAACUGCUAUAAGAGGAUUGCCAGCAUCUAUUGAACUUCUUUCUGGCAAUGUUUUGUCGAAUUUGAAAGAUUGCAAGAAUCUCAAGAGUCUUCCAUGUAUGAUAAAUGGUUUGAGAUCUCUUAAAUUGUUGUAUCCCUCUGGUUGCUCCAAACUUAAAAAUGUGACAGAGACCUUGGGGAAAGUUGAAAUCUUGGAAGUAAGAUUGUCUUGUUAGAAUCAGGCGAAAAUGCAGAAUGACUUCAACUGUGUGGAACAGAGUGCAGUGGAGACAGUAACAAAGUUAGCAAAAGCAGAAUCGCUAAGGUACUUUACAAAAUUAAUAAUUUCCUUUAUAACAUGCAGUACCGUAUUACUUCUAUGUGCAUUGCUAUCAAUAUCUUCGACCGAAAGAUUCAGAUUCAUGGAAGAAGAAUGUUGAUAAGGGCAUCAAGCUAUCUACAACAGCAAUAUCAGCUUGCUCACUUGCCUGCCAUAGGCUGAUUCAAACCUCAAGAGCCAUGCCGAAGAGUUGAAUCAAAUAACAGCAAAUUCACAUCUUAGGUGGCCUUUUCUUCCAG